CCACGACGUGCUCCGCUUCGGCGUCAACGACAGCGUAAGGGGCGACCUCGCGCCGCCGCACCCCGUCCAGGCCACCAUCCAUAAGGAGACCAAGUUCUGGGACGAGAAGAGGAGGUUCGGGACCGAGGCCAUCUACGGGUCCGCCUUCAACAUCCGCAAGGAUCUGGACGCCCAAAUCCUCUCCAGGCACACUGCAAUUCGUACCGAUUGGGGUUGUCGUAGG